UGGCAACUGUCAAGAGCAGGAAGAAGGAUGGGCCUUCUGAAGGUACAUCUGAAUUGGUCAUCAUUGAAACUAAUCUAAUGAUUUCUUUUUCUUCUAGUUGGAUUCUAGAUUCUAGUUCAAGUACUCAUUUGUGUACUUCUAUGCAGGAUCUUGAAGAAGGGGCCUGAGGGAAGGCGAGAUCACUCUUCGGAUUGGCAAUAGAGCAAGGAUUGCUGCUGUAGCCAUUGGAACCUAUCCUCUGCGACUACUAUUAGAACUUAGUUUACUUUUGAAAAACUGUUAUUAUGUACCUAUAGUCAGUAGAAAUUUGAUUUCUAUCUCUGUGCUAGUAUAGGAUAACUAUAAUUUUUAUUUCAAUAAAGACAUGUGUUCAAUUUAUUUCAAAAAUAAAAUUAUUGUAUGUGC
rnacentral:lncRNA from 1 species